AUCAUCGACCUGAGUUCAGACGAGGCUACCCGCUGAACUUAAGCAUAUCAAUAAGCGGAGGA
rnacentral:rRNA from 1 species